rnacentral:rRNA from 1 species
GACGAACGCUGGCGGCGUGCUUAACACAUGCAAGUCGAACGGAAAGGCCCUGCUUUUGUGGGGUGCUCGAGUGGCGAACGGGUGAGUAACACGUGAGUAACCUGCCCUUGACUUUGGGAUAACUUCAGGAAACUGGGGCUAAUACCGGAUAGGAGCUCCUGCUGCAUGGUGGGGGUUGGAAAGUUUCGGCGGUUGGGGAUGGACUCGCGGCUUAUCAGCUUGUUGGUGGGGUAGUGGCUUACCAAGGCUUUGACGGGUAGCCGGCCUGAGAGGGUGACCGGCCACAUUGGGACUGAGAUACGGCCCAGACCCCUACCGGAGGCAGCAGUGGGGAAUAUUGCACAAUGGGCGGAAGCCUGAUGCAGCAACGCCGCGUGCGGGAUGACGGCCUUCGGGUUGUAAACCGCUUUCGCCUGUGACGAAGCGUGAGUGACGGUAAUGGGUAAAGAAGCACCGGCUAACUACGUG